UAGUCAAUCGCGGAAAAAAAAUCCAGCCCCCACGAUCUUAUCCCGCAUCCAGCAACUGCUCCACCCCCGUAUUCUCUUUCAGUUUCUCUUUCUCCCAUCCCCAGAUCAGAGCUCCUCCGAUCCACCCGCCCCCUUCUCAUCGGCGGGAUCCCCGCUGCUGCCUCACGCACGACCCUCUCCUCCGCGGUCCAGUCCGCUCGAACACCGCCGCCCUCCUCACUGGCGGGAUCCGAGCCGCCAGCCUCACCCGCGGGAUCGGAGCCGCCGGCCACCGCCCACCUCGCCUGAAGGAUAGGAUGCCACUACUCUUCUACACCGUCCACCGGUGGCCCAUCACCUGCUUCACCUGACUGAAAAAUCCUUGCGGUGUUUCGAAGAAGCUGUGGUGGAAAUUCCGGAACCGCUGCGCCGACGGUGGUGUGAUGCCGGCGAUGGGUCCGCUGGCAAUUCAGUAUGCGAGGAUGUCGCUGCCAACUCGAGGUGUGUUCAUAGGAUGAUUCAUAUCAUGCUUGAAAAUGCGCAAUUCUGCCUGCUAAAUCUGGAUAACCAUGAGCUGAUUAUUCCAAAUGAAUGCUAAUUUUGACCCUGCUGGCCUCACGAUUGGUUCCAAAUUUAUUUGUGAGGUUGUAUGCCAGGGGUAUUAGAUCAUAGAAUUUGCUAUUUCUAUGAUUUGUAUCCUGCCUCUCCACUGUACCAUGUAGGUAACUUGUGUUAUUUUACUCCUUGGUUUUACAGCAAAAAAUAGAAUAUAUAUCAAUCUUGUAAAGGAUGUUUGGGAUGUUUUCAGGGAAAUGAUUUGGUGAAAUAUUGAUUGCGAGGGUUUGGAACCAAGUAACUAAAAAACAAUUGGAGCAAAGAGGCAGUGAAUGGAACUCUAGAUACUCAGCUUUUGACUCUCACUCGAAAAGUUCAAAAUAAUAAUCUGGCAGUGUCAUCUGCUUUGAGUAGCUCAGGAUGGGUGGUUAGAAGAGAUCGAAGGGAAGGCGCAAGAACAUGAUAAGAUGCAUGUUGCACAACAAGAGAUGAUAAAGGAGCUGAUAAGAUUAUCAGUUUUUAUUGGUGGCUGUUAGAAGCUGUAGACAAGAUGAUGCAUUUUUAUUAGAUUCAAGUGAGAUUAUUCAGAUUAGCAUAAAAAGUGCAGAGGAUCGUGCAAAGCUUUGUUAUCAUUUGAUUAUUUCACUAUAUAUUUUGUUCAGUUUCGAUGUAAGCAUCAGGCCUUAACAGGAAAUUCAAUUUGAUGUACUUGGCCAUGAUCAACGAACACAAAUAUUACAGAA